GGGGAAUUUUCCGCAAUGGGCGAAAGCCUGACGGAGCAAGACCGCGUGAGGGAGGAAGGCUCUUGGGUUGUAAACCUCUUUUCUCAGGGAAGAAGCUCUGACGGUACCUGAGGAAUCAGCCUCGGCUAACUCCGUGCCAGCAGCCGCGGUAAUACGGAGGAGGCAAGCGUUAUCCGGAAUUAUUGGGCGUAAAGCGUCCGCAGGUGGCGAUUCAAGUCUGCUGUCAAAGCACGGGGCUUAACUCCGUUAAGGCAGUGGAAACUGAAUAGCUAGAGUGCCGUAGGGGUAGAGGGAAUUCCCGGUGUAGCGGUGAAAUGCGUAGAGAUCGGGAAGAACAUCGGUGGCGAAAGCGCUCUACUGGACGGCAACUGACACUCAGACGACGUAAAGGCUAGGGGAGCGAAUGGGAUUAGAUACCCCAGUAGUC
rnacentral:rRNA from 1 species